rnacentral:misc_RNA from 1 species
UGCUAUUGGUGUCGACGCUGCCGUUUGUCGAAACAACUAUCGCGGGACAAAAACCCGUGUCUCUCGGCAAGGUGCCAUACCAAUUCUGUCUUCGUAGACGAGAGUAACUAAUAAUUUUUGGUGUUAUUAUGUGCAGCUACGUCACGUGAAUGUCACGCAUCGAAACCGUUAGUAGUAGAAAUCUGUUGUGCCAUUAUUUCUUCUGGUGUGCAGUAGAUUUGGUUUUGUCAGUAGAUGCGUGUAAUGUAUACACGAUGCAUUAUUAAACUCUCUUGACAUUUCUUUGUUUAAAACAAUGCUAGAUUUGGACUAUGUAUUCUAAUACGUUGUAAUUAUUAACCAAGACGUUCGAUUACGUUUACUGUGGUUAAAUUUCGCAGAAUAUUUUUACUACUUAAUUUUUUUAGCCGUAACUAAAGGUACGUUACAGCAAACCGACUUCUACAUGUAGUCGAACUUCGAGUUGUCUGGUUACUUCUUGGUUGCUUGUUCUCUGAAGGAAAGUAUUUCAAAUACUUCAUUUUCAAGGCGUUAAGAGAAACUUGUUUGUUUCAAUAAAAUAUUCCAGUUGUUAAGGCCCCAUUUAGGUCGUAGUCCGAACUGGAUUAUUUUCUUGAUAACGUGGCAUACGUUACUUCGUGAAAGUCGGCAGAGCGCUGACUGACAGACUUGCAUAAGAAAAGGGACUUAGAACCUUCGUGCAAAAUGGCACGUGCUCAGAGUUCAGACGUGGUGCCCGUUUGAAGGUAAAUACCAAUGAAGAAGAGGGAAAGGCGGUGGAUAGGGGAAUUCCCCUUUAGGUGUUGGAGAUCACUUCUGUUGCUGUGGACGUCAAUUGGUUGGGUGUGUCCUGUAAACACCAGCUAUCCCGUGUUUAAUGGACAGGGUUUCCUGGGAGAGAAGUUUGAUCAUCUGGUGGUGAACAAGUAUACCGGACUUGUGUAUGUGGGUGGAGUCAACAGAAUAUACCAACUUACUCCAAGACUGACUUUGAAGAGCACAGCCAUCAUGGGGCCCAAGGAGGACAAUCCCGACUGCCCAGUAACCCGAUUAUGUCCCCAAGUAGAUAAAAAAGCCACGGACUACUACAACAAAGCUCUUAUUAUCGACUAUGAACAAAGUAGGUUAAUAGCUUGUGGAAGCCUUUUUCAAGGUGUGUGCACAGUCCACGAUUUGGAAAAUGUAUCAAGUUACCAGACUCCAGCCAACGAGUCCGUAGUGGCUAACAAUGCCACUGCCUCAACGGUGGCUUUUAUAGCUAAGGGUCCAACUGAUACCCUUCGGAAAAUGACUCAUGUCCUUUACGUCGGUGUGACUUACACUGGAAAUGGACCUUAUCGGUCAGAUGUCCCAAUGGUCAGCAGUCGUAGUCUGGACCCGGAAACUAUGUUUACUAUUGCCGAGUCAAAAGUGACCACUGGAACUAAGGUCUCUGUGAACAGUCUCGCGCGCGCCAUUUAUCCAAUCACCUAUGUGUAUGGGUUUGAGAAUAAAGGUUUCUCAUAUUUUGUGACUGUGCAGAAGAAGAAUACGGACAGACCUCUUCCGUUUCUGUCCAAGCUUGUUCGGAUCUGCCAGGACGACCCACACUAUUAUUCCUACACCGAAAUCCCACUGGUUUGUCGAUCUAACGACGGAACAGACUACAACCUAGCCCAGGCUGCUUUCGUAGGCCGGCCCGGCUCCGACCUAGCUGUGUCACUGGGAGUCACCGCCCAAGAUAAGGUGCUUUUUGCGGUGUUCGCAAAGUCCAAAGAUGAAGCCGACGUCUAUAACAAGCCCUCCAUGAAUUCAGCUCUCUGCGUCUACGCUUUGUCUGCUAUCCACCGUAAGUUCAUUCAGAACAUCCAGAAUUGUUUCAACGGUGUGGGAGAUAGAGGGUUGGAUUUUAUAAACCCUAGCCAAUCUUGUCAUCAUACACAAGUACAAAUCAACGAUGAUUUUUGCGGAAUGGAUGUGAACACACCACUAGGUGGUGUCUUGCCUAUAGAAGGCGUCCCUGUUUUAACUUAUUCAGGAGUUCUACUAACUGCUGUAGCAGCGACCUCUACCCAUGACUACACAGUGGCCUUCCUUGGGACAUCUACGGGUCAUCUGAAGAAAGCUGUAGUAGAUUCUGUAACUAGUGCUUUUGAAUACUCCGACUCUAUAAUCGACGAAGGAUCCCCUGUGAACCAGGAUUUGACCUUUGACCAGAACCGACACAAUCUGUACGUCAUGACAGAGAGAAAGCUUUCCAUGGUGAAGGUACAAGAUUGUAAGAUGUACAAUAAUUGCCGAACAUGUCUUGGUGCCCAGGAUCCUUACUGUGGAUGGUGCUCUUUAGAGAACAAAUGUAGUUUACGAAGUGAUUGUGCCCAAGCUGCAGAAGACCCACUUUAUUGGCUGUCCUACAAAAGUGGCAAAUGUACAACUAUAACCAAUGUUAACCCUCCACAGAUUCAGAGGACAACAGCUCGUAUACUCACACUAGUCAUAGAUAACUUACCUGUGCUAGAGGGACAGUUCUUGUGUGCCUUCACAGCAUAUGGGAAAACAUUAGUCUCCAAUGCAACUCGUUCAUCUAAUGGGGUGAUAUGUGCUACACCACAUACUGACUCACUGCCAUCUAUUCCUUUAGGUGAACAUCACUUUACUGCUAAGCUAUCUGUAAGAAUGAAGACUGGUCCAGACUUCGUAGCCACAAACUUCACUUUCUACGACUGCAGUACAUAUAGUUCAUGCACCAAGUGUGUGUCCAGUCGGUUUCCUUGUGACUGGUGUGUUGGAGGACACCGAUGUACUCAUGACACAGGCGAGAACUGUCGCAAUGACAUCCUGGUCACAGGAGUAGCAAGUAUUGGUCCUAGCAUCCGGUCAGGUCCUGGAUUUUGUCCUAUGAUUAAUAUUACUGCAGGUAGCUCUACUGAAAUCCUUGUACCCAUGGGCAUUGAAAAAGCUAUUCAAGCACGAGUGGAGAACACACAGCCAUUUCUUCCAUCUACAAGAUUUGUGUGUCAAUUUAAUAUUGAAGGAAGAGUGAGACAAGUCACAGCACAGCUCUUGUCAGACACCAUCUAUUGCAGUGAGUUAAAUUUCACUUACAGCACUCAAGCUCCCAAUGUAUCUGCUACUUUUGCUGUCAUUUGGGAGGGCAACAAACCUUUAGAUAACCCAGAAAACAUGCAUGUAUUGGUAUACCGAUGUCAAGGAAUGGCUACCAACUGUGGAAUGUGUUUGGAGCUUCCAGAGAAAUAUCGUUGUGGUUGGUGUCAAACUUCUAGAUCCUGUCAGGUAGAAGAGCAGUGUAAGGAAGGGAAGAUCUCUUGGCUGGACAAAUAUCAGUCUUGUCCCAAUCCACAAAUUAUAUCAAUCUCACCCACUUCUGGGCCAAUAGAGGGUGGUACCAACAUUACAAUCAAAGGUAUUAACCUAGGGAGAGUCUUUGAAGACAUAGCUAAUGGUGUAACAGUCAAAGUGUUUGACAACAAGCAUGGCAGAAUUGACAUUCCUUGCAAGCCUUACCAAAAACUCUAUGUGAAAACCAGGAGGAUUGUCUGCGAAGUGGGAAGCCCUCAAGAUAAAACCUCUCACACUUUAAGUACAGCAUCCAUCUUAGGUCCUGUAGUUGUGAAAAUUCAAAAUGAUCACACAGCUACAUCUGCAAAUAACUAUGAAUUUGUUAAUCCAGAAAUUAAGUCUAUCAACCCUAGUAAAGGACCAAAAUCAGGUGGAACUCUACUGAAAGUCUGGGGAAUCCACAUGAAUGCAGGUAGCAAUGCUGAAGCCACUGUUGGCCCUCUUAAAUGUGAAAUCAUACAAAGGGAAAAAAACUUAAUUCACUGCAUCACCCCAGCAUCUGAUAAGAUUGGACAGAAGAAAGUCAGGGUAAAAUUUGAUAAAGGAUUGCGUAGCUUUGAUGGUUACCAGUUUUUAUAUGUGGAGGAUCCUACAGUAAGUAGUGUGGAGACGAGAUCUACUGGCUAUAAAGGUCCCCGAGGUAUUCCCAGUGGAGGGAUAACCAUUAGGGCAUAUGGAAAUAACCUCAAUACUGUUCGGGAACCCCAAAUUUAUGUGGAAAUCAAUGGUCAUCUGUUUACGGGUAAAUGUGUUGCAUUUUCAGCAGAAAGUAUCAGUUGUAAAAGUCCAGCUGUGCCUAGUGACCAGUUACAUUUCAAUGGAGAAGAACCACUUGAAUUUCACUACGGUUUCUUGAUGGACAAUGUGGAAUCUCUAAAAAAUUUGAGUUAUCGUCCAAGUUUUGCUAAAUUCCAGAUGUAUCCUGUUCCAGUGUACCAUAAGUUUUCAGAGAAAAAUAAUGUCAAAUUUUAUAAGAGUGAUUACUUAACAAUUAAUGGUCAACAUUUAGACAGAGCUUCGCAAGACACAGAUGUAAAAGUCCGCAUUGGCACAAGUUUUUGUAAUGUGACAUCUCUUUCUCGAUCUCAAUUAACUUGCCGUCCUCCAACUUCUCAACCUCCAGAACGUGAUUCUGAUGGAAAUCCUAAUCCCCACAGUAUUCCUCAAGUUGUAGUUGAAGUAGGAGAUAAUUUGAAAUACACAAUUGGAUGGCUAAGUUACGAACCUCCUUCAUCCCAAGAUAAUUCCAUCUCCCAGAAGCUUAUUAUUGGUGCAUUUGUUGGUGGAUCUGCCUUCCUAUUGGUUGUCAUUAUAGCAGUCAUUUUGUACAGACGCAAGUCUAUGGAGAGCAGUCGUGUUCUCAAAAGCAUGCAGGAGCAGAUGGAUGUGUUAGAGUUACGAGUGGCUAGUGAGUGUAAAGAAGCUUUUGCUGAGCUGCAGACAGAAAUGACUGAUCUAACAAGUGACAUGACUGCAGGAGGAAUCCCCUUUCUUGAUUAUCGUACUUAUUCUAUGAAAGUUCUCUUCCCUAAUUCUGAGGAUCAUCCAGUUCUUAGAGAUAUGAUAGUUGAUCCUGUGAAGAAAGCAUUUAUUGAAAAAGGGCUUCGUCAGUUUGGACAGCUUGUAAUGAACAAAACAUUCCUUCUGUUGUUCAUUCGAAUUCUUGAAUCCAAUCGUUACUUCUCCAUGAAAGACAGAGUAAAUGUUGCUUCACUGAUUAUGGUAACUCUUCAAGGAAAAAUGGAAUACAGUACUGACAUUCUUAAGACCUUGUUAGCAGAAUUAAUUGAAAAGUGCAUUGAUGGAAAGAGUCACCCUAAGCUACUGCUGAGAAGAACCGAGUCUGUGGCUGAGAAAAUGCUGUCUUCAUGGUUCACCUUCCUUCUCUUCAAGUUCCUUAGGGAAUGUGCUGGUGAACCAUUAUUUGUGUUGUACAGAGCUAUAAAACAGCAAGUAGAUAAAGGACCAGUUGAUGCUAUCACGAAUGAGGCUCGCUAUUCUCUUUCAGAAGAAAAACUGAUUAGACAAUCCAUCGAGUAUAAGUGCAUUACUGUGUUUGUCUCGAUGUCAUCACAAACAGGCUAUGUAACAGGGCUGGAACCUCCAGGGGAAAACACAGAGAUGGCAGUGAAAGUUUUAGACUGUGAUACCAUUUCCCAAGUAAAAGAAAAGGUGCUAUUUACAAAAAUACUCCAUUUUCUCAAAGGCCUGUGAAAGAGGAUCUUGAUCUUGAAUGGAGAACUGGUACACAUGGUAGGCUCACUUUGUUUGAUGAGGACUCCACUUCAAGAGUAGAAGGUGAAUGGAGGCGUUUUAACACCCUUAGUCAUUACAAGGUACCAGAUAGUGCCCUCUUAACCCUGGUUCCAAAACAGUCAUCUAUGUAUAACAUUUCAAUCAUGUCAGAGAAAAAUGAAAAAUUGCAUAAAUAUGAGACUCUAAACUUUCCAUUAAAGAUGAGCCCUCCUCUAAGUCGUGCUACAUCACCACUCAAUCAUGAUGUAGAGGCUAAUUAUAGACCAUGGCAUUUGGUAAAACACCAUGAUACUGAACAAAAAGAAGGAGAGAGAGG